CACGCCAGUGGCACAGCUGGGUAGUCACGUUUGGAAUAGAUAACCGCUGAAAGCAUCUAAGCGGGAAACUAACUUCAAGAUAAGUAUUCUUUAAGAUACCUUCGAGACAAGGAGGUUGAUAGGUUGGGGGUGUAAGUACAGCAAUGUAUUUAGCUGACCAAUACUAAUUAUCGAAGUUUUAAUCUA
rnacentral:rRNA from 1 species